rnacentral:lncRNA from 1 species
UCUCACAUGUGGCCAUGAAUACAUCAGUUGCAAAAAGAAGCAUAAUAUUGUGUAUAUAUCUAUACAUACAGAUCAAGGCCAAAAAAAAAAAGGUCCAUAACCGGCUCAACAGAGGGGCCAAGAGCCAGUUUAGUUUGUAGGGUUACUUGAUCGUACGUAAUAAGGUAGUACGUCGCUAGCCAUGCAUGCAUGCACACAUGACUAUCAAAAAUACAUGUGU